CAAUAGCGUAUAUUAAAGUUGUUGCAGUUAAAAAGCUCGUAGUUGGACUUCAGGCUCGGCUGACCUGUCUCGCGCAAGCGUGUACGGGUGCAGCUGCAGUCUUCCUGUUGCGCGUGGCUACGGCCCUUCACUGGGCGCGUGGUCGCCAAGCGCGCAGCACGUUUACUUUGAAGAAAUUAGAGUGUUCAAAGCAGGCUUUACGCCUUGAAUACAUUAGCAUGGAAUAAUGGAAUAGGACUUCCGUCUUAUUUUGUUGGUUUCUCUGUGCGGGAGUAAUGAUUAAUAGGGACAGUUGGGGGCAUUCAUAUUCAGAUGUCAGAGGUGAAAUUCUUGGAUUUUCUGAAGAUGAACUACUGCGAAAGCAUUUGCCAAGGAUGUUUUCAUUAA
rnacentral:rRNA from 1 species